rnacentral:rRNA from 1 species
AUUGAACGCUGGCGGCAGGCCUAACACAUGCAAGUCGAGCGGAUGAAGGGAGCUUGCUCCUGGAUUCAGCGGCGGACGGGUGAGUAAUGCCUAGGAAUCUGCCCGGUAGUGGGGGAUAACGUCCGGAAACGGGCGCUAAUACCGCAUACGUCCUGAGGGAGAAAGUGGGGGAUCUUCGGACCUCACGCUAUCAGAUGAGCCUAGGUCGGAUUAGCUAGUUGGUGGGGUAAGGCCUACCAAGGCGACGAUCCGUAACUGGUCUGAGAGGAUGAUCAGUCACACGGGAACUGAGACCGGGCCAGGACACCUAGGGGAGGCAGCGGGGGGAAUUUGUGAAAAGGGGGAGAAGGCUGAACCCAGCAAGGCGGGGUGUGGAAGGAAGGUUUUGGGAUGGAAAAGCUUUUUAAGUGGAAAGAAAGGGCAGAAAUUAAAUACCUUGUUGUUUGGACGUCACCAAAAGAAAAAGCACCGGCUAAUUGCGU